rnacentral:rRNA from 1 species
GAUGAACGCUGGCGGCGUGCCUAAUACAUGCAAGUCGAGCGAACAGACGAGGAGCUUGCUCCUCUGACGUUAGCGGCGGACGGGUGAGUAACACGUGGAUAACCUACCUAUAAGACUGGGAUAACUUCGGGAAACCGGAGCUAAUACUGGAUAAUAUAUUGAACCGCAUGGUUCGAUAGUGAAAGACGGUUUUGCUGUCACUUAUAGAUGGAUCCGCGCCGCAUUAGCUAGUUGGUAAGGUAACGGCUUACCAAGGCAACGAUGCGUAGCCGACCUGAGAGGGUGAUCGGCCACACUGGAACUGAGACACGGUCCAGACUCCUACGGGAGGCAGCAGUAGGGAAUCUUCCGCAAUGGGCGAAAGCCUGACGGAGCAACGCCGCGUGAGUGAUGAAGGUCUUCGGAUCGUAAAACUCUGUUAUUAGGGAAGAACAAAUGUGUAAGUAACUAUGCACGUCUUGACGGUACCUAAUCAGAAAGCCACGGCUAACUACGUG